GACGAACGCUGGCGGCGUGCUUAACACAUGCAAGUCGAACGGAAAGGCCCUGCUUUUGUGGGGUGCUCGAGUGGCGAACGGGUGAGUAACACGUGAGUAACCUGCCCUUGACUUUGGGAUAACUUCAGGAAACUGGGGCUAAUACCGAAUAGGACCUCCUGCUGCUGGGUGGGGGUUGGAAAGUUUCGGCGGUUGGGGAUGGACUCGCGGCUUAUCAGCUUGUUGUUGGGGUAGUGGCUUACCAAGGCUUUGACGGGUAGCCGGCCUGAGAGGGUGACCGGCCACAUUGGGACUGAGAUACGGCCCAGACUCCUACGGGAGGCAGCAGUGGGGAAUAUUGCACAAUGGGCGGAAGCCUGAUGCAGCAACGCCGCGUGCGGGAUGACGGCCUUCGGGUUGUAAACCGCUUUCGCCUGUGACGAAGCGUGAGUGACGGUAAUGGGUAAAGAAGUACCGGCUAACUACGUG
rnacentral:rRNA from 1 species